rnacentral:rRNA from 1 species
UACGGGGGGAGCAAGCGUUGUUCGGAAUUACUGGGCGUAAAGGGCGCGUAGGCGGGUUUCCAAGUCGGGGGUGAAAUUCCAGGGCUCAACCCUGGGACGGCCUUCGAUACUGGGAGCCUGGAGAUCGGGAGAGGUGAGUGGAAUUCCGAGUGUAGAGGUGAAAUUCGUAGAUAUUCGCAAGAACACCAGUGGCGAAGGCGGCUCACUGGCCCGGUACUGACGCUGAGGUGCGAAAGCGUGGGGAGCAAACAGG